rnacentral:rRNA from 1 species
AUACGUAGGUCCCGAACGUUGCGCGAAAUUACUGGGCGGAAAGGGUCCGUAGGCGGUCUGGUAAGUGGAAGGUGAAAGCCUGGGGCUCAACUCCAGAAUUGCCUUCCAAACUGCCGGACUUGAGGCAGGGAGAGGUCGGCGGAAUUCCCGGUGUAGUGGUGAAAUGCGUAGAUAUCGGGAGGAACACCAGUGGCGAAGGCGGCCGACUGGAACUGUCCUGACGCUGAGGGACGAAAGCCAGGGGAGCGAACCGGAUUAGAAACCCUAGUAGUCC